GAAAAAAGUGCAGAAUUUGUUACUACUAAGAAGGCAUUGGUUCCUCCAAGAAGGGAUGGAGAAACAGGAGAUGAAGUAAGGAAUAGGAUGGAAGAAAUUGGAGUUCACCUUAGCAGUAGCUUUCUGGAAAAGAAAGCAAGAAUGCGGUCCUAUAUUAAAGAUGUUGUCAAAGACUGCAAUAGGAAUAUCAAACAACACUGGAAAGUUC